rnacentral:rRNA from 1 species
AUUGAACGCUGGCGGCGUGCCUAACACAUGCAAGUCGAGCGGUAACAGGUGUUGCAAUACAUGCUGACGAGCGGCGAACGGGUGAGUAAUGCUUCGGAAUCUACCUUAUGGUGGGGAAUAACUAGCCGAAAGGUUAGCUAAUACCGCAUACGUCCUACGGGAGAAAGCAGGGGAUCGCAAGACCUUGCGCCAAAAGAUGAGCCGAAGUCGGAUUAGCUAGUUGGUAGGGUAACGGCCUACCACGGCGACGAUCCGUAGCUGGUCUGAGAGGACGAGCCGCCACAGUGGGACUGAGACACGGCCCAGACUCCUACGAGAGGCAGCAGUGGGGAAUAUUGGACAAUGGGGGAAGCCCUGAUCCAGCGACGCCGCGUGUGUGAAGAAGGCCUGCGGGUUGUAAAGCACUUUUAGUGGGGAUGAAAUGUGCAGGGUUAAUACCUCUGCAUUUUGACCUAACCCACAGAAAAAGCACCGGUUAACUCUGUGCCAGCAGCCGCAGUAAGAC